rnacentral:rRNA from 1 species
CUUUUGAUUAUAAUUUAAGGUCUAACCUGCCCACUGAGGAUUUAAAUGGCCGCGGUACUCUGACCGUGCAAAGGUAGCAUAAUCAUUAGUUUUUUAAUUGAAAGCUGGAAUGAAAGGUUGAAUGAAAAAAUAACUGUCUCUAUUUAAUUUUUUUAGAAAUUUAUUUUUAAGUAAAAAAGCUUAAAUAAUAUUUGAAGACGAGAAGACCCUAUAGAGUUUUAUUAUUUUAUAUUUAAAAUUAUUAGUAUUUAGUUAUUUUUAAAUAUAGAAUAAUUUAAUUGGGGUGAUUGAAAAAUUUAAUUAACUUUUUUUAAAUUUUUACAUUAAUUUAUGAGUUUUUGAUCCUUUAUUAAAGAUUAAAAGAUAAAAUUACCUUAGGGAUAACAGCGUAAUUUUUUUUGAGAGUUCAAAUCGAAAAAAAAGAUUGCNNCCUCGAUGUUGGAUUAAAAUAAAAUUUUGGUGUAGAAGCUAAA